GGUGAACGCUGGCGGCGUGCUUAAGACAUGCAAGUCGAACGGCAGUCUUCGGACUGUAGUGGCGCACGGGUGAGUAACGCGUAACUGACCUACCCCAAAGUCGCGGAUAACGAUUCGAAAGAAUCGCUAAUACGUGAUGUGCUGUCAGAUCGUGUUCUGCCCGCAAAGAUUGAUUGCUUUGGGAUGGGGUUGCGUUCCAUCAGCGAGUUCGUGGGGUAAAGGCCCAGCAAGGCGACGACGGAUAGCCGGCCUGAGAGGGUGGCCGGCCACAGGGGCACUGAGACACGGGUCCCACUCCUACGGGAGGCAGCAGUUAGGAAUCUUCCACAAUGGGCGAAAGCCUGAUGGAGCGACGCCGCGUGAGGGAUGAAGGUCUUCGGAUCGUAAACCUCUGAAUCAGGGACGAAAGACACUUCGGUGGGAUGACGGUACCUGAGUAAUAGCACCGGCUAACUCCGUGCCAGCAGCCGCCGUAACAC
rnacentral:rRNA from 1 species